CCUACGGGGGGCAGCAGUGGGGAAUAUUGGACAAUGGGGGCAACCCUGAUCCAGCCAUGCCGCGUGUGUGAAGAAGGCCCUCGGGUUGUAAAGCACUUUCAGUGAGGAAGAACGCCUGGUGGUUAAUACCCAUCAGGAAAGACAUCACUCACAGAAGAAGCACCGGCUAACUCCGUGCCAGCAGCCGCGGUAAUACGGAGGGUGCGAGCGUUAAUCGGAAUUACUGGGCGAAAAGCGCGCGUAGGUGGCUUGAUAAGCCGGUUGUGAAAGCCCCGGGCUCAACCUGGGAACGGCAUCCGGAACUGUCAAGCUAGAGUGCAGGAGAGGAAGGUAGAAUUCCCGGUGUAGCGGUGAAAUGCGUAGAGAUCGGGAGGAAUACCAGUGGCGAAGGCGGCCUUCUGGACUGACACUGACACUGAGGUGCGAAAGCGUGGGUAGCAAACAGGAUUAGAUACCCCGGUAGUC
rnacentral:rRNA from 1 species